UGAUGUCCUCCAGGCUGUAGCUCUUCGUCUCCGACGGGAUGAUGGCUUGAGAUCAGGAACAGAUCCAUGCGUUAGCUGCAGACACUUGUAAGCUCGAGGUCGGCAUGCAGGGCAGGGCUGCUUACCUUUGGAGCCGAGGGCAUGGAGGACGUCGGCUCGAGCCCGGAGCUGAAGCGCCCGGCCGAAGUAAUUCACCUCGCUAAGGCUGGUGCAGUUGCCGUAGGUACACCAGGCGGCCUUCCACACCUGCUUCCCGUUCUGGGCUGGGCAGCUCAAGCUGGGCCAGUAGGCGUUCAAGUCGUUCAUCAGAUCGUUAAGCUGUGGCAUGCGCAGAGUGAUCAGUGUGGGUCGGGAGCAGCGGAGAUCAUCGACUGCAUAGAUCCAAUCAGGCCUAUUACCGGGUUCAACAAGAAGCGGCAGCUGGGUUCGCAGUUGGCGACGAGCUUGCCGGUGGCGCUGUCGUAGGUCUCCAUGGUCUCCACCAGGAAGUCUGGCUCGGGGUUUUCGAUGAGCGGGUCAACGCAGCAGGUCGGCUGCCAGAACCACCCUGGCUGGCAGCGAGUCCCCGGCCACUGCAGGAGUCACGAUCCGUUAGACUUCAUUAACAGUUUACCGUACAAGAAAGGCUUUCUGUAAAGCCGAGAGAGAGAGAGAGAGAGAGGAAUAGGUACUAUGAGAGACAGGAUCAUGUAGUCGUAUGAAGCAGCUGCUAGCGCACAAGAGGCGGCGCACAAGAGGAAGCAGAACGUGGGAAGAGCCUUUGAGCCAGCCAUUCUGCAGAGGUGGAGAGGAUGAUCGGGGGAGAGACGCUUCGUGAGGUGAUGAGUCUGAUGGCUCUAUAUAAGCACUACAUUGAAGACACACCCACCUACUGAUAAUUGUUGGACUAAUAAUGCACCGCGAUUGCUGUUAGGGGGGUCUUAAAAUAAUGCACUUCGCAUAAAAUGUCGUACACCAACAUGAAACAUGAGGGACAUUCCCGCAUAUCGCAAGCAUAGUGGGUUGCAAAAUGCAAGGAAAGAAAGUAAGGAAUUUAUUUGAUUAUGGUCUCUCAUAGCUAUAAGAUUAUGGUCUCUCGUAGCUAUAUGGACUAUGUGACAUCGUCAAACCACGAUGUCACCUCCACCCUCCACCCCACCAGCCACUGGACCCUUUCCAUACAUUACAAUCAUUAAUCUUGAUGGAGGUGAACGAGAGAUAAUCAUAAGUAUUUUUCCUCUCUUCUCUUUUGUAUGACUCAUCGUAUUAGAUAUUAUCGUACGCUUCACGCACAUAUUGUUUUACUCACCUGAUCGAGCAACGAUAAUAGUGUGAUAGAAGCGAGCAAGGGAUACUCCUUCGACUAAGGGGCUUGAAAUCUAAGAGAUAGAAAAGGGAUUGAGGAUAAAGACACGAGCAAGAGAUAAUAUAAUUUUAUGACGAAUAAGAGUUAAAGAGUAAGAUGAGAAUGACUAUAUGAUGCGAAUAAAACAAAAAAGUGACAUUAGUAGAAUAAAAAGUAAAAAANNNNNNNNNNNNNNNNNNNNNNNNNNNNNNNNNNNNNNNNNNNNNNNNNNNNNNNNNNNNNNNNNNNNNNNNNNNNNNNNNNNNNNNNNNNNNNNNNNNNCGUGUUAUUAUCUAUCGGCAAACAAUUGACUUGAUAAUUGAUAAGGCAUAUAUUUAGGAUCUCGGCCACGUCGCGAUCCACGCCACGUCACACUCCUGCAGAUUCAACACAAGGGUUGCCUUCCUUCCACGUCGAGUUGGAGCUCGUAUAGGGAGGCACCCUCUCAACAAGUCCCUUCCCAGAAAGCUUGGGACGUUGUCCCAUGGCGUCGUUCCGCGCAUACCGGGUGACGAUUACACGAAGGUACGAUCUUGGGGGUAUCGAUCGUCAAGUCAAAUCCGCGUAUAAUCGAUCCUCGGACAAUAGUAUAAAAUCCCUUGACCGGCAUCUGGCUAGGAGACAAAGAACAGAAGAAAAAAAUCACUGACUUAGUCUACGAUGGGCCAAAGUCGGGAAUCUCCAGACCAGGGCGUGUGUGCAGGAACGUGGCCACCCCCGAACUAGCUCAAUCCCUCAUUGGAGAUGCGACCAUCCUGGCCGUUGAUCCAGACGCGACCAUCCCGACCCCUGAUCCAACUCGGCCUCGAUGCUUCUUCCAAUCGAUCGAGAGGCGCACUCCCGAACGUCGAAAACUCUGGACAUCGACAUGUGAACCAAAACGUGCCGACUCCUCGACCACGGCACGUAAGUUCACCAACAAAAAUAACGACGCAUUGUUGAAACAUUGAUUAUAAUCAAAGAAGAACGUUCUCAAAAUUAUUUUAAAAAAUAUUUUAUUUCUACCUAAUUAGUCAAUUAUUUAAAAUUUUUUUGAUGAUCAAUUCAUUUUCACUAACUCAGUAAAAUAUAAUAUUUGAAGAAAAUUAUACUGAAGAUAGAAUGUAAUAAAUGUAAUUAUAUAUAUAUAAUUAAUAUUUUUAAAAUAUAUUAAAUCGGAUAAUUUUACGGAAUAAGGUUUUGAGUCGUUCGAUGUAUGACUCUGUUAUAUCAAUAUAAGAUGAUAUUUUAGAUAUUAAAAAUAUAUACGAGACAACAUUUUGGUGCAGUUAUAUAUGUUUAAGAAAGACCACUUUUAUUACUGCAGGUGUGAAGAAGAUGCGACUCUACAACUCGGGAGUAAAAGACGAAGCGACAGCUCACAUCACCAUAAGUGCAAGCAUGUGGAUCACGCCAAGCAGAAGAAGACAGGCUUAAAGCAGUUCCUCCAUCACAGUGCCAUCUCGUCGCCGGAGGGCAACUCGAUCACUGUCUUGGAAACGGCGUCGUCUUCACGGCCUUGCAGUGGGUACGACACAGGGGGGAACUUGACCGUGUCGCCGCAGUUACUCUCCCUGCCGUUGGGGCAGCCGAUGAUCGACCUCCCGUCGCUGGAGACGCAGACGCGGAUCUGGUAGAGGUAGUCUUCGUAGAAGAAAGGCCAGAGAAUGUAAUUCCUGGUGCACACCACCGUGAACGAGAACCCGAUCCUGGGCACCAACGCGUCGUUGAUGUCGUCCAGGCUGUAGCUCUUCGUCGCGUGCGGUAUGAUCCCACUCGAGCCCAGGUUGACGAGGGGGUCCACCUUCUUCCUGAGUUGAAGCGCCCGGUCGAAGUAGAGCGACUGGUUGAGGCUGGAGCAAGUGCCGUAGGUGCACCACACGUCCUUCCAGUGGGGCAUCCCGCUGUUGCUGGGACAGGUCAGGUUGGCGUAGUACGUGUACAAGUUGUCGAGCAUGUUCACCAGCUGUCCAAACAAGACAAAGCGGUCAUCAUCGACAUCUCGGCCGAGUUAGCUCGGGUGGAGGAGGCUAACGAGACUCACCGGAAGUAUCUUGAAGACGCAGCUUCUGCUGCAGCCGGUGACCGGUUUACCGGUGGCGCUGUCGUAGGUUUCCAGGGCUUGGACGAGGAAGUCCGCCGCCGGCUCGCCAUUCGUCGGCAUACAGCACUUCCCUGUCGGUUGCGAGCUAGCACAGUAGCUUCCUGGCCACUGCAGUGAGAAGGACAUCAUACCAUCACCCAUCUUGCCAUCGAUGGUUACCACUACUGCAGGAAACCAGAACCAAGUAGAGGGUAACUAUACCAUAAGUUUCAAGAUCAGGUAGUCGGGCUUCGAAGCUGCCCUUGCCGCCGGAGAGGAAGACAAGCAUAACAGCAAGACAAGCAAGCAGAUCCCAGGAAGAGCCUUGAGGAUAGCCAUUCUGCAGGAGCUGUCGAGUUGCCUUGGUGAUGGUGGAUAAUAUAAGCCCAUCGUGGAACACACUGGUUGUGGCCUGGUGGUGGCGGGAUCCAUGGCAGCUCUAUCAAGAAAUGGCUGUCCUCGUCUCAGCCAUCAGCCUCUCCCCACGAGUUUCACGUGGCUUGCAGAUCUCAUCGCUUUCGAGAAAUGGUCGCCGUGCUGUUCACCACCAAUUUAAUGAUGACAUUAAAAUAAUGGCACAGUACAAGAUCAGAUGAUGUUCCAUGUGACUGACUUCUUUUAUUUGGACUCUCUCUCUCUCUCAUGAUUCGGGAACGGACAAGGAGAUGGAAGCAUUGAUUACAGUCGAGCCACCCAAACAACACCCCACUCCUCGCCAUCAAAUGUUCUUAUCUUCACAGACCGAACAUCAUUGAAGGGACUAAUAAGAAGAAGAUGGAUAGCAACCUGAUCGAAACAAGAACAAUGUUGAGAUGGGGAGGGGUUACGAACCGGUUCUGAGAAAGAUUUCUAGAUGUGAUUUCCUCUAAAGAAAUCAUGCAUUAAUUUGUUCUUGACCAAGUACAACAUGACUCGGAGAUUGGUAGACAAGAAAAAUGUAUUCAGAUCGUUCAUAAUUUCAUUUAAGAAAACCGAUCUAGAAGGAUUUUUUUUUGCGACAAUUAGGGAUUGAAAAUAGUCACGAUUAAGCCACUAAGUAGGGGUGAUGGUAAUUUCAGAACGGUCAAUUUUGAUUUCCGAAAUCAGCAACCGAGAAAAUAAAGAGUUAAAAAUAAUUAUAAUGAAUAUCAAAGUCUUUCCUCCAAUUACUAUAUGUUAGGAUAAAAAAUAUCGUUGAUGCGUGUAUUAGCAUGAUGUGAUCCUGAUCCGCAUACGAGGAGUCGAUAGAACAAGAUUUCUUCGAUCUCGUUCAUAUACAAAGACUAAGAUUGAAAGGGAUUUUCCGAGUUGAUUUAUCUAAUGCUUAACUUAGCACUUAGUUGCAUACAAAGACUUAUUUUUUUUUUAAUGAAGAUCCUAUAGAGAAAAAGUUCGAACUCAACUAUCUUUUUUAUUUUUAUGAUAUAUUUUUGUGAAUAUUUUUAUAGGAAAACUAGUUUAUAAUCAACUCAAACUACCUUUUAAUAUUCCUGAAAUAUUCCUACAAAUAUUUUGUAAGAAAGUCUGAAUUGUCUUAUGGGAAUAAUUCACGAUUAGCUAGUUUUUAAUUGAUCUGAAUUAUCUUCAAUUUUUUAUGAAUAUUUAAAUAUUUCAUCGAGGAGGUAGCUUAACAAAUCGGUAAUUGACCCGAGCUAUCUUUUGAGUUCGAAUAGAAAAUAUUGGCUUAAUAUGACAUUGACGUUACGAACGAUGACUAACCAAUUUAAUAUUUUCUUUCGCUAUGUGUAGUCAAACACUAUGUGAGUUGUGUUCAAACCACAAACUCUACGUAGCUAAAGAAAAAAAAAAAGGUAAGAUUAUUUUGUAUGAUCUAUAUUGAUCAAACGAUAAACAAGAAAAAAAUAGAAAAAGGUAAGAUAAGAUUAUUUUUUAUGGUCUCAUCGAAUAAAGUUUAUGUCGUCGAAACAAUUUCUAUGGUUACAAGAAUAGUGGAAGUCUCGUCAAGAGGAAACAAAAGAAUAUGGAAUAUGUGGAUCUCCUUUUUCCACGAAGGAGAGAUGGCAGAAGAAUUUUGUGUUCGAAUCCCAUCAUUUAUUUUGUAUCAAAAAAAGACACUAAUUCAACGAAAAGCUGAACACAAAUGAUGGAGAGAUGGAGUUUAGAUAUCAAACGUAUGGGAAUUUUACCUUCAUUAAGUAAAAUCCCAACUUGUUCAUGACAGGUAAUAUGCUCUGUUGUUAUUUGAUUAAUCUUAGAGACAGAGAUCAUAAAACAACAUCUUAUUCCAGUAGAUCGCAAGACGAUGAUGACAUCCUACACACAGGCAAUUCAUCAUGUUUGAGUGCCAAGAUGAUGAUGAUGACAUCCGCAUGACAAGAGGGCAGUAAUCCGUGGAUCGAUCACUGAGUCAUCGCCUUGUCCGAUGGCAACUUGAUGUGGUCGACCGCCGGAUGGCGCGGGCGCCCGAGCAUGUCGUCCGUGAACGGGUAGAACUUGACCUUGCUGCCGCAGUUGCUCUUCCUGGCGAAGGGACAACCGAUGAGAGACUUGCCGUCGGCGGAGACGCAGAUGCGGACUCUGGAGAGCAGGUAUUCCCGACUCAGCACGCCCAUCUCCGUGGUGCACUCCACCACCGCCGAGAACCCGAUCUUGGGCACCAGCGCGUCCUCGAUGUCCUCCAAACUGUAGCUCUUCGUCUCCGACGGGAUGAUGGCUUGAGAUCAGGAACAGAUCCAUGCGUUAGCUGCAGACACUUGUAAGCUCGAGGUCGGCGUGCAGGGCAGGGCUGCUUACCUUUGGAGCCGAGAGCACGGAGGAUGUCCACUCGAGCCCGGAGCUGAAGCGCCCGGCCGAAGUAAUUCACCUCGCUGAGGCUGGUACAGUUGCCGUAGGUACACCAGGCGGCCUUCCACACCUGCUUCCCGUUCUGGGCUGGGCAGCUCAAGCUGGGCCAGUAGGCGUUCAAGUCGUCCAACAGAUCGACAAGCUGUGGCAUGCGCAGAGUGAUCAGUGUGGGUCGGGAGCAGCGGAGAUCAUCGACUGCAUAGAUCCAAUCUGGCCUAUUACCGGGUUUAUCAAGAAGCGGCAGUUGGGUUCGCACUUGGCGACGAGCUUGCCGGUGGCGCUGUCGUAGGUCUCCAUGGUCUCCACCAGGAAGUCUGGCUCGGGGUUGCCGAUGAGCGGGUCAACGCAGCAGGUCGGCUUCCCGUUCCACCCUGGCUGGCAGCGAGUCCCCGGCCACUGCAGGAGUCACGAUCCAUUAGACUUCAUUAGCAAUUCACAGUAGGACUCAUCGAUUGCACAAGAAGGGCUUUCUGUAAAGCCGAAACAAAAGAGAGAGAGGAAUAGGUACUCUGAGAGACAGGAUCAUGUAGUCGUAUGAAGCAGCUGCUAGCGCACAAGAGGCGGCGCACAAGAGGAAGCAGAACGUGGGAAGAGCCUUUGAGCCGGCCAUUCCGCAGAGGUGGGAAGGAUGAUCGGGGGAGAUGAUGAGUCUGAUGGCUCUAAAUAAGCACGAAGACACACCCACCCACCCACCGAUAAUUGUUGGGCUACAUCGAUAUUGUUCUCGUGAGUAUAAUAUAAUAUAAUAUAAUGCACCUCGAUUGCGGCAUGGGGGUCGUAAAAUAAUGCACUUCGCUUUAAAUUUCGUACACCAACGUGAAACACGUGGGACGUUCCCGCAUCCCGCAAUCGUAGUGGGUUGGAAAGUGCGAGGAAAAAAAGAAGGAUUUUAUUUGAUUAUGGUCUCUCAUAGCAUAUUAUACUCUUCAUCUAAAUUAGGGAUUAAAAGGCUUCGAGACCAAGCAAGUGAAUAAUAAUAAAAUAAUAUAUUAAAAAAUCGAUCAAGAAAAAAUCCGUAAAAUAUUUUAUUCAUCUUUGAACAUGCUUUCGACCAUGCAUUAUUGAAACAUAUUCGUCCAUUUGAAAUAUCAUAUCUUUAAUCGCAUAUUACAUAUCAUAUGAAUUGGAUAUGUGUACUACCAUUAUUUUCCUUAAAUAAUAAUUUAAAUUUAUUAAAUUAAAAUUUAUGCCUGUGGACAUUAUUGUGUGAUCGGAACUGAGAACGAAGACUCGAACAAUGCAAAGGUCCGUAAGGUCUCGCCGAAUCAUCUUCCUUUGUCUUCCCUUUUACGCCAUCGGCGGUACCGAUGCAUUCGAUCCGGAGCUGGGCCUUCUCCGCCCUGAUCCUGGCUGUCACCGUCCUCUUCUUCUUCUUCUUCGACUGGCCGUCUCCUCCUCUUCAAGAAAUAGCCGGAGAUAUUCCUGGAUCCUUGAAUGACAUCGCUGUGACGGUAGGCCAUGGCUUCGAUUUCUUUCUCUCCCCUUCCUCUUCCCUUACCUUCUUUUCCCUUAGGAUAGGACAUAUUUUGGCCUUAUAUGAACCACCGAUAGACGUUGCAGAUCGACACAACACCGUACGCCUCCAAAACCGUGGGGUGCAUGCCACGUCAAGAGCCAACGAUGCAAUUGUGCGGCUUGACCACCUCAAAAGCUGGGGGCGGUGCCGUCUGCUGCUAGGGCAGUGUCGUCUGACGCCCCUCGAGCACCCUCGAAGAUGUCAUCUUGUCAGAGAGGUUGUUCCGCCCCUAGAGUUAACGACCAUAUCGGACCAGGGCCCGACCAAUUACCGCACGCAGGUAUAAAUACCCCCGACCUGAUCCAAAAAAAAGGGAGAAAAGGAUGAGAGAUUUAGAAUGAAUCUAACUUGCUCGUCGGAGGGGCCAAAGUUGGGACUUACCCUACGAGGGUCUUUUUGCAGAGAGGUAGUCGUCGCUGAGACGCGAAUGUCGUCUUCACACGGACGGUGCCCGGUACGCAGAGGAGGGUGGCCCAACGAGUCGGACUCGACAAGUGUCAGCCCGCAUCUCCCAUCUCCAAGAGGCUUCCACACCACAAGGAGGAUCCCCAACCAUCCGAGGGGAUGAGAGGACGCAUCUUCUCAUGAACAAUGCUCAUAUCGGCCAACUUUGGAAAGCCGGCUCACAGCGAGGCUCAGGCCGACCUUGCCACCUCAACCGGCGCUCAACGCGUUUAAGGGGCGCAACCACUCAAACGAUAGUAAUUCCGCCAGAAGUUCCCGACGUCGGCAGGUGGGCCUAGUCAUGCUGACAUAUUAGUCACGACAUGUUUGUUCACUAACAUUUUGGCCCUAGAAGAAGGGCCCAUGUCGCGGGAAUAGCUGGCAAGAACGUGCCCUGGGAGGGAACCCCCGACCGACCUCCCUUUCGCUGAGCCAGAAGGACAACCCCUCUCUACCCCUAUGGACGGAGGGAUACCGAUUUCAACGCUUGAUCGUUACUGGCGCUUGUUCAACGACCCGGGACUAUCCCCCCCGGGGCUCACCCCGGGGGGCCCGGCUGUGAUGCCCGAGGCAUUCCUUAGCCUAACCAAGCAAGUAUAGACCAUGACAGGCAUGAUGCACUCACUCGCCCCGAUCACUCCCCAAAUCGGGCAGCCCUCGAUGCCCUCGACCGAUCCGACCCGGCAACCCCCGAACGGGGAACAGCUCGGGGUUGGGCCAGCCUCGUGGCGAGCAACGGACCCGAGGGGUCCUCCCGUGCAAAAUGCGCCCACAGCUUGCUGAGCCACCCCAUCUCAUCUAGAGCCCGAUACUAUAUCAUCUGACUCGGCGAACGACUCACUCAGAGCUCAGUUGUCCCGGGUCAAUCAGCACCUGGACGAGUUCCAGCGUGAGCUUUGGAGAUUGCGUAGUGAGCCUAGCGAGGGCGCUUUGGUUGGGUCCCUCUUUACCCAAGAAGUACAAGAUAAGCCGGUCCCCCUCAACUUCAGGUUCCCGACAUUAGAAACGUACGAUGGAGGCUCGAUCCCAUGGAGCAUGUCUUUGUAUUCCGGGCCUAGAUGGCCCUCUAUGGUGCCUCCGAUGUGCUGAUGUGCCGAGUGUUUCCGACCACUCUGCGUGGCCCGGCGUGGACAUGGUUCAGCCGGCUGUGUCAAGCUUCAGUCUCGUCCUUCGACCAGGUGGUCGAGGAAUUUGAGCAAAGCUUCCUCACCGGCGCACGGCCCAGGCCCUCCAUGGCCACUUUGCUUGCACUAUCUCAGCACGAGGACGAGUCGCUCUCUCAGUUCGUGGCACGGUUCACACUAAGAUCCGAGGUUUUUCAGAUACUCACCCUUCUCUAAUCUUGCAAGCCUUUAUGAUGGGUCUUAAACCUUUAAGGUUCUUAUGGUCGUUGAUCGAGAAGCCGCCAGCGACCAUCUCUGAGAUGCUUCUACGUGCCAACCAGUACAUUGCCGUCGAGGCUUUAGUGGCGGGGAGGCACGUGGAAGGCAAGAAGCUCAGGAUGGAGCUGUCUCGAGGAACGGCCUCGGCGUUCCCGACGCCUCCCCGCCGGGGGCUCAACCGACAAGAGCUGCUACUCCCAAGACCCCCACCUCUCCCCCUAAACACAUCCCGUUCCGAGAUCUUCCUCUAGAUCAAAGAGACGAGCCUCUUGCAGCAGCCUUGCCCUAUGAAGGCCGCCCACAGAGACCAAUCUAAAUACCGUGGGGAUCCGUCGGCACACCCCGGAGGUGGGGGAGAAGUGAUAGGGCAUAUUUUGGCUCUAGAUGAAUCACCAACAAAUGUCACAAACCAAUAGCCACGAACGCAAUGCCAUGCGCCACCAGAACCACGGGGUGCAUGCCACGUCAAGUUCGGUACUAUGUGAUUGUGCGACUUGACCACCCCAAGAGCUCGGGGCGGUGUCGUCUACUUUUGGGACAGUGCCGUCUGACGCCACUCAAGCACCCCCAAGGAUGCCAUCUCGUCAAAGAAGUUAUCCCACCCCCAUGAAAGUUAGCGGCCACGCCGAACUGAGGCACAACCAACUCUCGCACGCAAGUAUAAAUACCCCCGUCCGAUCCCGAUGAGAGAAGAAAAAAAGGAGGAAGAAAAAACAGGGGAAUCCGAACUAAUCUAACUUGCUUGUCGGUGGGGCCAAAGUCGAGAGACACUCGACGAAGACCGUUUUGCAGGGAGGUGAUCGCCACUGAGCUGCGAGCGUCUCCACCCUGAAGUUGUCACCUAAUGCGCAGAGGAGGGUGGUCCAGUGGUUCGGAUCCCAACCAGCGCCGGCCUGCAUCUCCCAUCUCAAGGGUGUGCCCACGUCGCGGGGAAAGAUUGCCAACUAUCCCGGGGAUGAGAGGACACAUCUCGCCAGAAGCGACGCUCAGGUCGGCUAGCUUUGGAGUGCUAACCCCCAGCCGCUCGCGAGGACCCGACCGACCCUACCGCCUCAACCCUCGCUCGUAACGCUCGAGAGGCGCAACCAUCUCAUCAUCCUACUCAUUCCACUAGAAGUUUCCGACGUCGGUCCGUGGACCAAACUGUGAUGUCUCAUCAGCCAUGGUACUUUUGUUCACUAACAGACAUCAAACAUAUGGGAAUUUUACCUUCAUUAAUUAAAAUCCCAACUUGUUCAUGACCGGUAAUAUGCUAUGUGAUUAUUUGAUUAAUCUUAGAGACAGAGAUCAUAAAACAUCAUCUUAUUCCAGCAUAUGGCAAGACGAUGAUGACAUCCUACACACAGGCAAAUCAUCGUGUUUUAGUGCCAAGAUGAUGAUGAUGAUAUCCGCAUGACAUCGUACACAUAUCGCCUUGUCCGAUGGCAACUUGAUAUGGCCGGCCGCCGGAUGGCGCGGGCGCCCGAGCAUGUCGUCCGUGAACGGGUAGAACUUGACCUUGCUGCCGCAGUUGCUCUUCCUGGCGAAGGGACAACCGAUGAUAGACUUGCCGUCGGCGGAGACGCAGAUGCGGACUCUGGAGAGCAGGUAUUCCCGACUCAGCACGCCCAUCUCCGUGGUGCACUCCACCACCGCCGAGAACCCGAUCUUGGGCACCAGCGCGUCCUCGAUGUCCUCCAAACUGUAGCUCUUCGUCUCCGACGGGAUGAUGGCUUGAGAUCAGGAACCGAUCCAUGCGUUAGCUGCAGACACUUGUAAGCUCGAGGUCGGCAUGCAGGGCAGGGCUGCUUACCUUUGGAGCCGAGGGCAUGGAGGACGUCGGCUCGAGCCCGGAGCUGAAGCGCCCGGCCGAAGUAAUUCACCUCGCUGAGGCUGGUACAGUUGCCGAAGGUACACCAGGCGGCCUUCCACACCUGCUUCCCGUUCUGGGCUGGGCAGCUCAAGCUGGGCCAGUAGGCGUACAAGUCGUCCAACAGAUCGACAAGCUGUGGCAUGAGCAGAGUGAUCAGUGUGGGUCGGGAGCAGCGGAGAUCAUCGACUGCAUACAUCUAAUCUGGCCUAUUACCGGGUUUAUCAAGAAGCGGCAGUUGGGUUCGCACUUGGCGACGAGCUUGCCGGUGGCGCUGUCGUAG
rnacentral:lncRNA from 1 species